CCCACCUUUGCUUGACUCUGUGUAACACCUGAGGCUUUGAGCUUUAAUGUUGUACUGUCUCCUGCCUGUGUGUAGGCCUCUUGGAAAAUGACCCGAAUCAAAAGAACCAGUGGCAGUUCUACGGGCACUUUGCUGCAUUGUUGUCAGCCCUUUAUGGUCACAGAGGCGGGGUAUUCCAAAACAUUACGAUGCAGGAGGUGUUGGGGGCACAAAGGUCCGUCUCGGAGAAGGCUUACCUGAUUAACGUGACAAGCCACAAAACCAAUCAAUAUUUUGGCCCUGCUCAAAUUGCCCUAACAGAGGAGGAGUGGGGUUGGGUGCAGCGCUUCUUAAGCAUCAAGGACAAGCUGCCAGGGGGGACGAACCCAAAAUACUUGUUUUUCACAUCAACACCCAACCCCUGUAAAAACCUAAAUAAUUACUUCCAGGACGCCUGGAAGUCAAUGGGCCUACCCGGGUGUCCCACCUUCACAGACGUGAGAAGCUCCAUCGCCAGCCACGCCAGGUUUACGCACUCCACAGAGGACCGGCUCAAAAUCUCCAAGUUUAUGUGCCACGACCUGAGGACAGCCGACAAAUUCUACGUGGUGAACCUCUCUGCCCAGCAGGCCAUGGAGCACCGCCGUCUAUUUGAGAGUGCUUUAGAGGGAGCAGAAAGGAGCCCAUCGAAGCAGAGUCCUGUGAAAAGGAAGAGGCCUUCGAAGACGGAGAAGAGCAGAAAGAAGCGGCGCCAGAGGCCUGAUGAGUCACCAAAGAGCACCACCUCAGAAGAGCUGGUGCUACAGCUGCAGGAAUCCGGCACAUCAAGUCUCGAGGGCACUGAGAGUGAAAGAACGGCCGGGGAGGACGGUGGAAGCAGUGAGCCGGAAGGAGGAGCAGAAGGCACAAAGCACACCCAGAGUGCCGAGGUUCAACCCAAAUUAAAAUUAGAGGAAGGACAACAGCCUAGACGAAAAUACCCCACCCGUACGAAAGGCGCACUAAGGACCGUCAUGAAGCCCCAAAGCGUAUCUCCCCUCAAAGUACGAAAGUCGAGCUUUUCUCCGAACUCUACAACGCUCAUGGGAAUGAGCCGGCAGAAAAAGGCAUCAAGAAUGGUCAAGAGGGCCAUUGAAAAGCGCAAGAGGCGCAGAUAGACACUUUUGCACCUCACAAUGCACUUUAUUGGACUGAACUGUUCUGUUCAACCUUACAUUGUACUUUAUUUGUGUUAAGUGUUCUGUUAGUUAUUUGUGUGUACUGUUCUUUUACAUAUGUUUCUUGCUUGCUGUGAUUGUUUCCAAGUGUUCUAAUGUUUGUUCCUUAAUUAUUGUUCAAUAAAACAACUUGUUAUUGCAA
rnacentral:lncRNA from 1 species